UUCGGUUAUCAUAUUUGUUGUUGUUACUAUUUGUUUCUCCAAUACUUUCUAUUUAAGCCAAUGAUCUAUUGUAAAUAGUUGUUUUAUCUUCAUAAAGUAAAGGUAUUGAUCGGUUCCCACAUGUAAGAUUAUAUUGGUUAUGUUGUUGUUUUGAUUUGAACUUGAAACAUCAUAAUUAUAAUCUCACUUCUUUGACCACUAAAUACAAGUCCAUAAAUGAAAUUCUUUCAACGUCUGUUAGAAUUCUCGUGUUCAAAUUCACCUUUUGAGUCCUAAAAAGGAAAUAGUCGAGUAAGUAAAUAUGAAAUACAUGAUGGGAUAGUAGGAUCCAUCUAUUUUUAUUGAGA
rnacentral:lncRNA from 1 species